GGCACCUGUGCAUGCUAUCAUUUUUCAGAUGUAUGUUGGUGAAGUGGCAGCAGUGGCCAAGGCGCACUUGGAAAAUCCAAAAAUAGAAAUUUAAAAACCAGCGGGUGAUUAUUCACGAAUAAAGGUAUGCACCAGUGUGGGCCUGACUUCUGGGUCUGAGUCCCCGACCGUGUAGGGGAGCUGGUCACGGGCAAGCCUGGAAGGCUGGAUGGAGGCAGCGGCCAGCGCCAGGAAGCAGUCACAGAAGCCAACAAGGCUCUUCACUCAGGACCGAGGAGUAAAAUUCAGUACCAAAUAGACCAGAAGUCCUAUUUGAAUUACAGUUGAUGAAAAGUCUGAACUUCGAGCAACUGCAAAUAGAAAGCCAAAGGAUUCUCUGCAGUUUCUAUAAGAGCUCAUGGCACAAGGAUGUGACUAUUUGGAGUCUAUAAAAAUUUAAUGAUGGAUGCUCAUCAGAUUAGAAGUAGAUACGCUUCAUUAAAAAUCCUGACCCUGGAGCCUUAGUUGUUUUUUUGUAAAUUCACUCACCUUCUUGAUGGUAUGAGCCAGGCCCCCAGCAGCCAUGGUGGGCUCUGGGCAGAGACUGUGUGGAUUCAUCCGGAGGACGAGUUGUUCAGGGCAUGAGGAAGAGGAGGGUGUGGGGCUGCUGCCCCCUGCCUGAUGCCCUGUGGCCCAACCUGUGGGCUGGAGGCUGCUUGGGCCUAGUGGAGGCUCUCUGACCUGGAACCACGGUGCCUGCUUCUCCAAGUCCUACAGCCCCUCCAGACCUCAGCACUCAUCUGAAAAGCAGGGGUGGUGAUGGCUCUUUCAUAGGGGUGUAGUGAGCCUCAAAUGUGAAGGUGUUUAGCAUAU